UCCAAUUUUCUAUGUCAACUUUCAAAUUUAGAUCUCUUUCCUAUUACCUCCAAUUCAUUAGGUCCCUUAACCUCAAACUCCUACCACCACCUUAGACGAUGUCAUUUUCUUCUCUCCGUGGUCGAUCCGCUUCAAAGACCUCACCUCCCUCCAUUUCCGGUGACUCCAAGUUUCGAUUAUGAUAUUUCCGAGGUAUAUUCAUGCUCUCAUCAUCAAAUCUUAUGGGACUAUCUCUCAUGCUUGGUACAAAUCAAAGAGGGCUUCAACUGUUCAGAUUUUGCUUCCCCUCUUCACCAGUAUUGCAUGCGCCAAAGAUCAAUAGCCUCCAUGCCUCCGGACCUCCUUAGGAAGCAACACUUAGUCGACUCGAUCGGUUGCCGCCUCUGAGGGGCCCUAUCAUUCUCUCAGAAGAAGAGAUCUCUGAGGGCUCAUCUCCAUGGAAAAAGACUUUGGUUGGCUACCCCUUGGCCUUGAUAAUAAAAGAGAUUCCUUGCAAAGGCUAAGACAAAUAUCUAACCAAGUUUCGUAUUCUAUCUCUGAUGAUUUCCUGCGGUUGUCUGAAAGGAAAUAUCUGCAUGAGAUAAAUUAAUAAGACUCAAGAGGUUAUUGCUGAAAAUCUUUCUGAAGAAUAGAUUACAUUGAGUUCUUUAUGGAACAACGCAUGACAACAAUAUGAAGUGAUGAUAUUUAUUCAAAGCCUUUCAAUACUUUGAUAAUGAUAGUUGUGGCUGAGUUGUCAGCAAUAUGAACUCUUCGAUCUCUAUUUCACUGACACUGGAACUUUAUUCUACAAAUAUUUUUGCUAUAUAAUUUUAACUAUUUGGUUCUGAAGUUCCUCAUAAAUUUUCUAGUAAUCAGGGAUGAGUUGGAAUUAGCCAUGAAGGAGCAUGGAUGAUGCCACAAACAAGGAUAUGAUAUCUUCUUAAUUCUUUUGGGUUAUUUUUUUUUUUACUUUUUUUCAUAAGUCUUAGACAGAUUAGGGCUUGAGUUUUCAU